rnacentral:rRNA from 1 species
GGGGGCUUCGGUGACCCGCGUCUACCACCGGGAUGUUCAUAACCCUUUGUUGUCCGACUCUGUUGCCUCCGGGGCGACCCUGCCUUCGGGCGGGGGCUCCGGGUGGACACUUCAAACUCUUGCGUAACUUUGCAGUCUGAGUAAAUUUAAUUAAUAAAUUAAAACUUUUAACAACGGAUCUCUUGGUUCUGGCAUCGAUGAAGAACGCAGCGAAAUGCGAUAAGUAAUGUGAAUUGCAGAAUUCAGUGAAUCAUCGAAUCUUUGAACGCACAUUGCGCCCCCUGGUAUUCCGGGGGGCAUGCCUGUUCGAGCGUCAUUUCACCACUCAAGCCUCGCUUGGUAUUGGGCAACGCGGUCCGCCGCGUGCCUCAAAUCGACCGGCUGGGUCUUCUGUCCCCUAAGCGUUGUGGAAACUAUUCGCUAAAGGGUGCUCGGGAGGCUACGCCGUAAAACAAACCCAUUUCUAAGGUUGACCUCGGAUCAGGUAGGGAUACCCGCUGAACUUAAGCAUAUCAAUAAGCGGAGGA